rnacentral:rRNA from 1 species
CGGUUGAUCCUGCCGGACCCUACUACUAUCGGGAUAGGACAAAGACAUGCUAGUCGAGCGUUUCUAGCCAUGGGUGCGCGGAGUACAGCUCAGUAAUACGUGGCUAACCUCCCCUUGGGAAGAAAACAAACCCGGGAAACUGUGGCUAAUUUUCGAUCGGUGAAGAGUCCUGAAAUGGUUCUUCACCAAAAGGGUGGAUAUGUUAUUCCUUGUUCGUUGCCCGAGGAGGGGGCCGCGACCGAUCAGGUUGUUGGUGAGGUAAUGGCUCACCAUGCCUAUUACCUGUGCGGCCCGUGAGAGCGGACCGCUGGAGUUGGGCACUGACACAAGGGCCCAGGCCCCAGGGGCGCAGCUGUCGCGAAAAUUUUGCAAUACACGUAUGUGUGACAAAGUUAUCCCGACUCCCUUCCGUUUAGGAAGGGUUUUCACCCCGGUAUAAGGCUGGGAGAUUAGGGGGAGGGCCAGCUUGGUGUCAGCCGCCGCGGUAAUACCAGCUCUCCGAGUAGUGUGGAUGUUUAUUGGGCUUAAAGCAUCCGUAGCUUGCUAAAUAAGUCCCCUGUUAAAUCCACCGAUUCAAUCGUUGGACUGCGGGGGAUACUGUUUGGCUAGGGGACGGGAGAGGCCGACGGUAUUUCUGGGGUAGGGAUGAAAUCCUAUAAUCCCGGGAGGACCACCAGUGGCGAAGGCUGUCGGCUAGAACGCGCCCGACGGUGAGGGAUGAAAGCUGGGGGAGCAAACCGGAUUAGAUACCCGGGUAGUCCCAGCUGUAAACGAUGCAGGCUAGGUGUUUGGGCGGCUCCGAGCCGCUCUAGUGCCGCAGGGAAGCCGUUAAGCCUGCCGCCUGGGGAGUACGGCCGCAAGGCUGAAACUUAAAGGAAUUGGCGGGGGAGCAC